AACGAACGCUGGCGGCGUGUUUAAGACAUGCAAGUCGCACGCGACCGCCCGAGUAGCAAUAUGAGGGUGGUUGAGUGGCGCACGGGUGAGUAACACGUGAAUGACAUGCCCUUCAGAGGGGGAUAGCCCAGGGAAACUUGGAUUAAUACCCCAUGGUCUCGCAAGAGUAAAGGUGGCCAGCAAUGGCUGCCGCUGGAGGAUUGGUUCGCGCCCUAUCAGCUUGUUGGCGGGGUAACGGCCCACCAAGGCGACGACGGGUACCUGGUCUGAGCGGACGAUCAGGCACACUGGAACUGAGACACGGUCCAGACACCUACGGGUGGCAGCAGUCGAGAAUAAUUCACAAUGGGGGCAACCCUGAUGGUGCAACGCCGCGUGGAGGAUGACGGUCUUCGGAUUGUAAACUCCUGUCAUCCGGGAGUAAGACCCGGCUGUGAACAGCAGCCGGGGUUGAUAGUACCGGAAGAGGAAGGGACGGCUAACUUCGUGCCAGCCGCCGCGGUAAGAC
rnacentral:rRNA from 1 species